ACAGUUUUACAAGAAUAGGGAACUUAAAAUAAAUCACUCUGAUGUGCUUGAUUGAGCAACCGAACAUUAUAACCAUCUGUAGAGCAACUGAGGAAACGUGUGCCGCUCUAACCUUCCUCCCGUCACUUCCAGUCACCAGGGGCAAACCACGGGCAGUCUAAACGGACGACACUUGAGGAAAUCCACUCGAACUGCAGGAGCUGACUCAAGUGAAGAAAGUUUACUCUGGAGCAAGUCCACAGUCAUCACUUCCCCCUUCUUCUGAGAUGCUGUUUCUUUCUUUAGAAACGUAGGAAAAUCUUGAGCUCAGCAAAAAACUCAAAUGUGGUUCUCUCGUUUCCUUCGAGAUUGGCUGCACCAGUGGAACGUUACUGGGAACGGGAGGUUGAGGGAGUCCACUGUCCGCUGAAUAAAUGUCCUCGCCGCCCGCCUGAGGAUUCCUCCUGUUUAUGAGGCCAUCAAGGAAACACUCCGUGCUGAUGCGGUGCAGCAAAUAUUAAAGAUGCUGCUCUGCCUGAUGUGAUGGGACAUUUAUUAAAAGUCCAGCCUCCAGGACUAGUUGAUGGAUAGAUCAGUGAUAAGAGGAGGAGGAGGAGGCGGAGGAAGGCAUGUGCCGUUUUCAGACACAAACUCCUAAGAAGUUUCACACAUGAACAACACUGUGUCAGUGUCUUCUACAUGAAUGGCUCCUCUUUUUCAUCCUGAUAUCUGUGUAUUCUUUUUCAUAUUUUUUAGUUUAGGAUCUCCUGCCUUGUUCUCACAUAGGCUCAUUCGGACAUUACUCAGAUUUUUUACGAAAAGAAUGUCCAGAGAUAUUUCAGAGUUCAUUGCUUAUCUGAAAACAGCUUUGGAAAGAAGCAAAGCAGUUGAGAAUUCACAAGUCUUUUUACAGAGGAAUGAAGAAGAGGAAGGGAUGAUGAAGGAAAGAGGAGAAGCAGUGGUGCUUGAUAUAGGUCUGGCACCCAGGAGAAGGAAAGAAAUGCAUUAAGUCUGAAAUAGUGUUGAAUAAGAGAAGAAAGACAUCAGCGUCUAAAUCUUGUGUGUCAGAGGUUAGGCUUGAUCUGGAGGUGUGUGUGUGUGUGUGUGUGUGUGUGUGUGUGAGCCUCCUCAUUUUAUUGAUGAGCCUCUUCAUCUGGUUCUGCUAGGGAGAGCAGGGGUGUCGAGGGGAGAGAAGGAUGGAGAUGGAAGGAAAGGAGGGAGAGGUGGUGCGGGGUGAGAAGAUCGGGGCUCGGCUCCAGAUCUGCCGAGCCUGAAAGCAGUUUCCCCCCCGAAAGCUGUGAAUAACGAAGGGAGAUAGUAAGGAGGAGGAGAAGGGGAAAAAGGAGUGGAAGCCAGACAGAAAGCCAGACUUAAAGGAGAGGAGGAGGAUGACUGAUAUUUAAAUGAGAAAAUAAUAAUGGAGUCGAGAGAUUUGAAAAUAACUGAGAUAAAUACUGAGGUGGCAGCUACUGGUCAUAUUCUUUUAUGUGGCUCAGCCGGUUUUAAUGCCCGGGACAUCUCAACCAUGUAAUAUGUCAUGUUUUUUUUUUACUAUGGGCUACGUGCCAUUUAUUUUAAUGUCCAAACUCGUUUUCGUACCGGCGCACAUCCCUUCAUGUUGAAGUCGGAGAAUGUGGGCUGCGUCCCUCUGAUUUUCUGCUGUCUGGGGUUACGAUUGAGCCAGGACGGAGCGUGUGACACCGCCGACGCUCACCGCAGAAAACUGAGUCAUCACUUCAGCCAGUUGGCUCGCCCCAGAUGACCGAGAAGAACUGCCAUUCGGCAAUGAGCCUGUCAGAUUCCAACUUCACCGGGAUUAUUUCUGCUCAGCACAAUCCAAUUUUGUGGCAUGGAACUGGGAAAUAUGUGACCUAAUUUUUGUGUGUGUGUGU